CCCUACCCCUCUCUAUUCUCUCUCACUCUCACAUUCACCAGAAUCCCUAAUUUAAUCCAACUAACCCUAUCAGAGCCCUCAGCCGCCGCUAUCGUCAGUCCCCAGCCACCGAGGUGUCGCUUUUAUCGUCCGCCCCCUCCGCCAAGGUCAUUGAUCGUAGCGAUUCUUCCAAUUCAUCGCCGAACCUAUUUGCUGACGCUGAAAAUCAGACUAUGGACACGUUGAAGAGUGAAGAAGUAUCGGCAGCUGUUUUGUCUUCCACCAGAUGAAUAUUUUCUGGCUGAAAUUGAGGGACCUGAGCAAAACUCUGAUAAGAAGGCUGACAAAGGACUGCUGAUGCUGUUGGAAUCUAACCUUCCUUCACUCGAAAUGGAUUUUCUGGAGCUACAGAACUCCAAAUGGCGCGCUCCCAACGGAGUUGGAAAGUAGACAUCCAGAGCUUUCCAGCAAUAUAUAAUAGUCCAUACUUUAUUCGAGAUUUGACGAUGUAAAUUAGCGCUCAACGCCAGUUCCAUGCUGCAUUCUGGAGUCAAACACCAGAAACACGUCACGAACCAAAGUUGAAUGCCAGAAACACGUUACAACUUGGCGUUCAACUCCAAUAAAAGCCUCUGCACGUGUAACAUUCAAGCUCAGCCCAAGCACACACCAAGUGAGCCCCGGAAGUGGAUUUCUGCAUCAAUUACUUACUUCUGUAAACUCUAAGUAGCUAGUUUAUUAUAAAUAGGACAAUUUACUAUUGUAUUUUCCUCCUAGAUUGUAUUUUUGAUCCUGUGAUCACGUUUUGGGUGCUGGUCUCUCGGCUAUGCCUGGACUUUCAUCACUUAUGUAUUUUCAACGGUGGAGUUUCUACACACCAUAGAUUAAGGGUGUGGAGCUUUGCUCUACCUCAAGUUUCAAUGCAAUUACUACUAUUUUCUAUUCAA